CACCCAGUCCACAGCUCUCCUUCGGAUACUUUUAUCAGGUGGGAGAAUGUCCUCCUUGUCAUCUUCCUUCUCCUCCUCCUCUUCACUGUUCUCUGUCUCACCCAUCUUGUAAUUCCCAGGGAUCUCUCUUCUUUCCUCUUCUGACAUCUCCUCUCUUUUGUUUGCCUUUAUGGUGUUCUCUCUCUCUCUGAUUAAAGCUAAAUGGCCUUCAAUAGCUCUCUUUCUCUCCUCCUCUCUCUUUUCCUCUCUCUGCCUCUCCUCCUCUCUUAGUCUGAACAUUUCUUUCUGUCUGGCAAUUCCAAUCUCUCGUUUUUUAUCCUGCUCCUCUUGUUGUCUUGCCCUCUCCCGUUUUCUUUCCAUCUCCAGCCGUCUUUCCUCCUUCUCCCUCCUGAUUUGUUGUCCUCUUUCUAUGUGUUCUCGUUCCCCCUUCAACACUUCUAACCUCCUCUCUUUACGUCUAUUGAAGACUUCCCGUGCUUUAGCUUUAACAUUAACUACUACAUCUUUCUUCAUGCUUACUUCCUUUCCUCUCUCUUCUCUUUCCAUGUACUCUUCCUCUGCUUUCUUAAUAAUCACUUCCUGCUUUUCUUCCAUCUCUCUCUCCUGUUCUAUCUCCAGUUCAUUCUGCCCCUCAUUUCUUCUUCCUACUUCCUCCCUCUCUCUCAUAAUCAUAUUUUCUUUCUUGUUGUCCUCUUUCUAUGUGUUCUCGUUCCCCCUUCAACACUUCUAACCUCCUCUCUUUACGUCUAUUGAAGACUUCCCGUGCUUUAGCUUUAACAUUAACUACUACAUCUUUCUUCAUGCUUACUUCCUUUCCUCUCUCUUCUCUUUCCAUGUACUCUUCCUCUGCUUUCUUAAUAAUCACUUCCUGCUUUUCUUCCAUCUCUCUCUCCUGUUCUAUCUCCAGUUCAUUCUGCCCCUCAUUUCUUCUUCCUACUUCCUCCCUCUCUCUCAUAAUCAUAUUUUCUUUCUCCAUCUCUUUCUGUUGCUGAUCUUUUAAUUCCUUCUCUCCCUGAUUCUCAUUGUCUUUCUCCCUUUCUUUCUCUUUCUCCAUUUGUUUCUGUCUCUCCUCUUGUUGUUGUC
rnacentral:lncRNA from 1 species